rnacentral:tRNA from 1 species
AAGGAUAUAUUCGGAACAUCUUCUUCGAAGAUGAAARGGAUUAACGUGACAUAUUGUAUUCAGUUUUGAAUGUUUAUUAACAUUCAUWUUUAAUAAUGGGCCUAUAGCUCAGCUGGUUAGAGCGCACGCCUGAUAAGCGUGAGGUCGGUGGUUCGAGUCCACUUAGGCCCACCAUUUAAGUUAAUAUUCGUUUUGGGGGCUUAGCUCAGCUGGGAGAGCGCCUGCUUUGCACGCAGGAGGUCAGCGGUUCGAUCCCGCUAGUCUCCACCAUGAUAUAUUGUACAUUGAAAACUAGAUAAGUAAGUAAAUAGAUUUUACCAAGCAAAACCGAGUGAAUAGAGUUUUAAAYAAGCUUGAAUUCAUAAAAAUAAUCGCUAGUGUUCGAAAGAACACUCACAAGAUUAAUAACAGGUUUUCGACUUUGACUUUUAAAGAAAUCGUUUUGAUAUGAAAGCGAUUGACUAAAAGUAUGGUGGAAACAUA